rnacentral:rRNA from 1 species
GACGAACGCUGGCGGCGUGCCUAAUACAUGCAAGUCGAACGCAGUGGAGACGGGUGAGUAACACGUGGGUAACCUCCCAUCAGAGGGGAUAACACUUGGAAACAGGUGCUAAACUGAUACUGAUGGAUGGACCCGCGGUGCAUUAGCUAUGUGGUGGGGUAACGGCUCAACAAGGCCACGAUGCAUAGGCGACCUGGGGGGGUGGUCGGCCAAACUUGGACCUAGACCAGGCCCCGGCCGCUACGGGAGGCAGCAGUAGGGGAUUUUCGGGAAUGGACGGAAGCCUGACCGAGGAAAGCCGGGUGGGUGAAGAAGGUUUUCGGAUCGUAAAGCUCUUUUGUUAGAGAAGCGGUAACUAAACAGAAAGGGACGGCUAACUACGUGCCAGCAGCCGCGGUAAUAC